CCUUUAUAAGCUUAAGGCACAUAAACAAACCAAGACCAAUAUUAUUAAAAAGAUAAAAUGAAGGACCAAAAGUGGAUAAGGGACAAAAGAAGAAGAAAAGAAAGAUCAAGAAAGAAAGGGAUGAAGAAGAAGAAAGGGGAGGGGAGCUUGGAGCUUGGAGCUGCCUUUAAUGGCAGGUAGAGGAGGAAGGCUUCUGAGGUGCAGUGGAGUUGGUCAGAGACGAAGGAGGCGUCGACGAGUGCAGCAACAACGACGGCAUCAGCUCUAAUGGAGGUGGGCGGCAGGGAAAACCUGCAAGGAAAGAAGCAACUUCUUCGACGCCGUUGAAAGCACUUUUGGCAACGACAACGGCUGUUUCUGGUGGAAAACAACUUCUCUUAUCGUGAGCUUCAAAUCUGCAGUGGUAAUGUUAACAAUGGUGACCAAAAAUGGCGUUUUCCGGUGGAGAGAGAAAAUAGGCACCAGUUCAGAUUUUUGAACUUUUCGGCCAGUGUUGUUGAGCUUCGGAUGAUCAGAAAACAUAUUCGGGACCUACGCAUCAUAAGCUUUCCGAUGACAUCGAUUUUACUUUGAUCAGACUCCGUUGAAAAUCAAUGGUUGGGAACUGUCCUGGAUGUUUCCGGAUGAUCAGGGGCUAAAUUGGAAAAUCAGAAGCCAAAUUCAUUCUUUACACAUUAUUUCGAGCCUGUAGGCACGCUCAGAUUUUCGAUUGGACUUUGAGGACCGGAGGCGAGUCGACUGAUUUACUUUUAGCUUAUGCCCCCAUAUGCUAGUUUAAAGGGCGUCUCGCCAUUUGCCAUGCUAGGUGCGGUCCUGUAUAACUAGAGAACACUAUGAACUCAUCAACUCAUCUACCUUUCCUUUCAUCCAGUCUUCUUUUCAGUCCUUGAAGGAUUGUUCAGUUUGUAACCUCCAUUAGCCCAUCGGACUGUUUAAUGAGCAACAAAGUCAGGAAAGGCCCGAGGAUAUAUAUGCUCCAAGCUGUAAGCCGCCAAGGACUAGUGAUCGGGCAUUACAGUGAUGCAGGUAGUGAGAUGCAUUCUGAUGCUUUUGACAUUUAGCGCAAGUCUGUACGAGCUUAUUUGCAUCCUCGUGUAUGGUUGGCCAAAAAUAACCUUGGAGAAUGGCUUUUUUGGCUAUGGUGCUAGCUGCUUCGUGAGCCCUACAGAUCCCUUCAUGGAUUUCUCUAAAGACGUAGUCCACUCCUUUCAAAAUACAUCUAGAGCAAGGAUGAGAUGUUAGUUUUCUAUACAAGGUACCAUCUUGGAAAGAAUAUAUGGUUGAGGUCUUUACUAUUUUAGUUGCAUCAUUCUCAUCUUCAGGCUCCUCCAGUAUGUAGAACAUGACAUCAUUGCUCAGUUCUUAUUGUGAGGCGAGUUUGGUUAAGAAAGCUGCCUCUUUGUUCUCAUCUCAUGGGACCUGGAUUAUGCUUCAUUAGCCCUCUCCUUUUUCAAUUCUUUGCAACAUCGCUUUUACUCAACUUACAUAUUUGACUAGAUCAGGGUCUUUGACUUUGAAGAUCCCCAUUAUCUGAUUAACUACUAGCUAUGAAUCGCUGAUUAUACUUAGAUGCUUAGCUCGUACUGUUAGUACCAUCUUUAAACUCGCAAGUAAUGCUUUACACUCGACAACAGUAUUAGAGGCUUUAAAAUUAAUUUUUACCGAGCUUUUUAGUUGAACAUUAUUUGGUCCCUCUAGUAGUAUGCCUACUUUUGCCCUAUUAAUAUUAGAUGCUCCGUCGACAUGCAAUGUCCAUUUGAAAAUAGCUUCAUCAAGUUUCUCUGCACUCUAGGGCAAGAGGGGGGGUGGGGUGGGGG